rnacentral:lncRNA from 1 species
UACCACAGGGGUCCCUGACAGCAUAUCUCAGUAGGGAAACAUGCUAAGCUCUCCUUUCAGCAGCAGCUCACUGGCAUAUCCCACAAGUGGCUAUUCUGCAGUCAGUGGUCAUCAUUUCAUCUAUAAUGCCUGUCUGAGCUCCUUGAAGCCAUCACUCAGAGGGAACACUUGCUGUGAUUCAAGUAGUCUGCAGUGUCACUGAGCAUACCCUGGCUGGCUGCUUAAGCAAAGGCAAAAGUUUUCCAGUUUCUCCUGGUGUGGGUCCGGAAAUCCGUUUUAUCAUGGAGAGAAUCCGUGUGCCUUGGCAGGUCUGCAGUUCAAACUUGAUCGCCCACCCAGAACUCCCUAUUGAAAUCCUCCAGGAGACUUGGCUGCUUCUGCAUGCACUCUACUGUCCCUUAAUUGAUUAAUAUUGCUUCAUUUAUAACAUUCUGUAGGCAGAGGUGACAUUUGUAUGGUUACGUUUGGAUGGUGUUUGAAAUAUUGCUGAGUACAGAAUGGCUAUCACAUUUGACAGCACAGUUAAAGCACUACCUGUAUUUUAUAUGCAAUUGUGAAAAGUGAUUUGGGGAUUUCUGAGUCUGAAAGCCAAAAAAUUCUUUCUUCAGUCUGUGUACAAAUUAAUUAUUUGGGGGGGGAGGACGGAGGAGGAGGGGUGUUUUGCAAGUUUUCACGUUUAUCUUUGAAAGUAACAGGCAGAAAAUGGACCUGGCAUAUGUUAGACAAGCUCUACUGCUUCGUAGGAGUCAUUCCCUGGAUUAUCACAGGUUUAGCAUAAUGACAUUUAUCGACCUGUAAAUAUAUGUUUAUGCAUAUGAACGUAUUGCAGUUGUUGAUGGAAGAACUGCAGAAACGUCACUGGCACUUUCCUGAUAAGUAGUAAGCAAUAGGUUGCUGUAUACUUUACUGGCAGGUGAAGAGCAGCUGUGCCUUGUGAUAAGUGUUUGGAUUGUUUUGAAUUCUUGCUUGUACGUGAACAAGGAAGUUUUUUGUAGAAAUCUCACCAUCAAAUCAUUGAAUUUGCCUUCA